UUCGAUAUCCUCAAGUUGACAUAUAAUGUUGAUCUUGGUAAUGAGUUGAGGACCGAUUUCAAUGUAACUCAUGCAAUUUCGGGUGCUAAAUCGCCUAAACAAGGUGCCAACAUUUUGCUAAAUCUCCUAAAAAGCUUUAUUUUAGUUCACUACCACGCUAUAUUGUCAUGCACGCUUUGAUGUGAUUUGACCCAAACUAUUAUUCGAGUGUGAUUCAGAGCCAAUGAUUUUUACUUUUUAUAGUAGGUUCACUGUGACUAAAACACAAAAAUUUAAAAGAAAAUUAUAGGCAUUUUCCAAUAAAAAAAGGUUCUGGCUUAUAAACU
rnacentral:lncRNA from 1 species